GGCACAGCGUGUAGGGAAGAGUCCCCUCACACAGUCCUCCCCCGAUCUGUCCCACAAUGGGACCCUCAGGUCACCUCCCUACCCACACCGACUCCUGAAAGAGGGGGGUCCUGCCCCAAGGAACAGUCCAGACCCCCCCCCCCCCCGCCCCCGGACACCGUGGUGCUGUAGGGUGGGAGUGGGGGUGAGGAACCCCGGAGGCUGGGAGACCGGAGACCACGGAGAUGGGCAGAGCUCCUGGCUCUUCGCCUCCAGCCUCCUCCGCUCCGCCGUUUCCUCCUCGGAUUCGAGCGCGUCGAAGACGGCGGCUCCCACCAGCAGCCAGCUCUGCUCAGUGCCGGCGGAUGGCUCCGUUCCCUGAUGUGAUGGCUGCUGACACCGAGCUGUUCCUGACCUGUGAGCUGCUCUGCCUCUGCAGCAGCAGGGUGGCUGCAGUCCCUGAGGACGAGACACGGGUCUAGGGGGUGGGCAACCUCCUUCCCUCUUCGACAAACCCACCAGGGCAGCCAACAUGUGGUGUGGGGUGCAAGGACCCUCCCCAAUGCCCUCCCGUGCCCCAGAACAAACCCUGCCCAGCAGGAGCCGCGUGAUCCCUUAAAAACCCAAUGAAAACACCAAAACGGUUGUUCGUGCCAUCUGGAGCAAAAGAAAAUGGAAUUUUAAUUAAAAACUCAUGAGCUCGUUGCUAUAAA